AGGGUUUUGUAUGAUUUAAUAUCAGACAGUAAGAAAAAAAAGUUAUAUGUCUUUUUAUACAGUGUAUGUAAACUUUUGGUUUCAACUGUAUAUCCCGUAGAAUGUUAUAGUGAGUGUGGAGUUUUUCCCACGAACCACAGGGUGUGGAGAAAGCGUACAUGGGAUGAUGGUCCGUUGCAGGGCACUCAGUGGAUGGUACAGACACAUCAGUUUACUUAAGCAUGUAUUUUGGACUGUUGGCAAGGGUUGAAGUGGGCCGAAAUGAUCCUGAACAGUGAUCUAGCACCACUGAUUAAUAUACAAAUAUAUACAUGUAAUUGUCCAUUUCAUAUGUAAUAAUGUGCAGCAAAUUCAUUUUUUUGUGUGCUGCAAUCUGACAUUCCUUCCAGCUGAUGCAACUGAGAUACUCUACAAAUCAAACAAAAACAUGCUUUAUUUGAACAAGUACAUUGAAAUGCUUCUUUACUGACCCCAUCUUACUCUUCAUAGCUUGGGGGUCACAGUACAAGGUCAGCUAAUGUGCAGAACCCCUAGAGCUGGGGGUUAAGGGCCUUGCUCAUGGGUCCAUGGACAUGUGACUCUUCUGCCUAGGCUGGUGCUCGAACAGGUGACCUUCUGAUCACAGGCACAGAGGCUUAGCCUGCUGAGCCACUCACCACCCCCACCUGAAACUAAUGUCACCCCAUGGCCCUGUCCCCACACUCAACAUGUCUCCUUUUUCCAUUCUCAUCCCUACCUUAAGUGGAUUUAAACAGUGCUCAACAAAUAUCACCAAACGCACAAGUUGCUUUAUGAUAAACUAGGCUAUCUGUCUUGCUAGGUACUGGUACAGUCGCUAACACCUUUGACUAGCACUUUGGCUAGCUUAGCUAUGGUAAUGUUAGGUCCUGCUCAGAAUAGGAGCUACCAUAGGGAUGAGGGGUGCCAUUGCUGUAGAUGACUGUCAGAAAUUCUCUACAAGGGCCCUCCUACCCUGGUCUGUCUAUGCUCGCUGUCAGUUCUGGCAGGGAGUGAUUUUAGCUCUGCUAUUAGUCCCGUUGCUGGAAUGAGGCUACAUCCACACUGCUAUGUUUUCGUUUAAAACACAGGUAUUAGUCUCCAUUUUCGCUUUUUGUUAACAUUCCUCUGGAGUUUUCACCCCAAAAACUUUUGUAAACACUGUUACAGCCAUAUACUUCUGAAAGCCCCAUUUCACAGUUGCAGUCUGGAUGAGUAAAUACAGAGACUUUUGAAAACAGACUCUAAAAGCGUGCUGUUUGGCCCCAACUCACCACAUGGCCCACCCCUGAAUCUCUAUUUAAACUUACCUAACCUACUUAGCUAAUUAUAAAAAGUUUUAUAUUGAUUGUUAACACUAAUACACAUACGCAAAAGCACACAUACAAAAGCGAUAAACGAAAAAUUUUUUUUUAAUAAAUAACGGCCCCAUACUCUGAAGCCAGAGCAGACACACAUACACCACCUUCAAAUCUCACUAUAAUUUCCUUUCUAAGUUUGACAUUUAUUCUCGCUACUUUCCUUUGAUUUGCUGCUAUCACUGUUCACUUUCUUUGGGGCCAUGAUUACUGUAUGACUAAAUGUACUAUAGAUAAAGUACAAAAACAUAGGAACACGGCUUUCAUAAGUCGAACUCGGUCAAGAGUGAUGAGUGAUUCAUAGGCAUAAACAUCCCAGUAGGUCUGUUUGCCUUUGCUUCACCCCUUCAGAGACGCAUCUAGAUAUAUACAAGUUUUAGCAGGUUUGUUUUGUUUUGUUAUGUUCUUACUUUUGGUUGAGUUGCGGUUAGAUUUCUUUCGAUCUAUAGCUUUCAAGCUCCAAAUAGGUAGAUUUGAAUGUUUUUAGCAGGAAGCAAUUUCCAAGAUUUAGGUCAAAGUACAAGUUGAAAAAAUUCAACAGACCCGUUUGAUAUCGGAGUUGGUACAGGAGUAACGUUAGCAGUGGGUUCAGUAUUCGCCAGACAUUCACAGAUCUCUCUGUGCGUGUUUGUGAAAUUACAUGCACCCCCAGAAACGUUUGUAAACACUGUUACAGACCGCAAAGGGAAGGCCUUUUACAGUGCCCAAUUUUAAUAUUUAUUGGGGCUUUCCGUCUCUCCCCACCUAUAUUCUUAACUAACCUCCCUACCCCCCUAGUCCCUAGUUUAAACAUUCCUCAACUACUCUACACAUACGCCUCCCGCAACACACUGGUUCCCCUCUGGUUCAGAUGCUACCCAUCCAGCUUGAACAGGUCCCACCUCUUCCAGAAGGUCUUCCAGUGCCCCAUAACCCUAAACCUCUCUUCCCUACACCACCCUUUUAGCCGCAUUUAAUCCCCUUAUCUCAGUUAACUUAGCCUGGCUUGCACGUGGCACAGAAAGUAUUCCAGAGAAUACCACAGUGGAUGUUCUGCUUCUAAGCUUAUCCACAACUCCUAUAAAUUUAUCCUGCAGAACAGCCCUCCUCCCCUUGCCCAUGUCAUUGGUGCCAACAUGCACCACGACCACUGGAUCCAGCCCUCCUGGGGCCAAAAGCCUAUCUACACGUCUACGUCUGCAACCUACGGCUAAUGGCUGCCAUACUCAUGGAGUAGCUGUUACUGUAGCGGAUCAGCUUCUCCUGAUGGUGUCUAAUGUCACUCCUUUCAAGGAGCGUAUUAUGAGACUCGGGCUAAGGCACUCUUUCGGUGUCUUGCCUGUUGUCUCAGUGUAUACUCCGAUCGCGGUGAGUGAUGUCUCAUUGAGGGAGACGUUUUACUCUUAACUUCACUCGGUGGUUGAUGGCAGACCACGAGGUGACAAUCCUCUGGUCUUGGGUGACUUCAUUGCGAACACUGGCACUGACAGAGCUGGCUAUGAGGCUUGUGUUGGUCCCCCUGGGUGUGGAGACUGAGGUGAGAGUGGCCCCAUGUUCCUUGACUUUGCAAAGGUCAGGGGCUGUGGGUGGCUAGGUCCUGGUUCCAGCGUCCUGAGCCACAUCAUUGGAUUUGGUACUCCAGUACUGGUGGUGCAGCAAAGGAGAUCGAUCACAUCCUCGUGGGAAGACGUUGGAGGCUCCUCCAGAACUGCAGGGUCUACAGAAGUGCCCAGUUAGUGAAUUCUUACCACAGGCUUGUUGUUGCUACUCUGCUGAAUCAGCUUAGAUCCAGCAGGCUACCACCUUCUAGGAAAAUGAGGCUGGACUGGGCCAGGCUCCAAGAUCAAGCUGUUUCUGAUGCAUUUGUACACAGUUUGUACAACUGUGAACUGAGGAACCGGGAACUGAGGAGGAUGGUUGUGAGGGCUCUAAGGGUAGAUAAGGAAGCGUUUUUUUAGAUGAAUCAGUGAGCAGAUGACACACCAUCUGUGGUCCAGUGACCCACUAGGCUUUUAAUGCAAGUUGGACAGAGAAACACAUGCAUACAUGUACACUAUAGAUCAGUGGUCACCAGCCCUGCUCCUGGAGCUCUAACACCCUGUAGAGCUUAGUGCAGCACUAAUUCAACACACCUGAUACAGAUAAGUAUAGGAGCCUGCUAUGCUGUAGCUAAGCUGACUGUAACACUGAGGUAUUACUGAAGGGCCUACUUAUCUGUAUCAUUUGUGUUAAAUUAGGGCUGUACCUAAACUCUGCAGGGUGCUAGAUCUCUAAGAGCAGGGUUGAUGACCACUGCUAUAGAAAAACUGGAACGGAUUGAACUUUGAUCACAGACUAUAAUAUACAGAAAUAGCAGUAUGUCUAGCCUAAUUAUUACAACUAAUUAAGUCCCUUGGCAAUAAACAGACCUUUGUAUUUAAAUAAUUGGUAACGCAUUUACUGCACCUUCAUAAUGCUUUUAUAUUGCAUUCAUAAAAUGUUCAGUGGACCUUCAUAAUGUAUUCAUUAAGUGUUCAUAAAACAUUCACAAACAUCAUGUAUGUAUACCUUAACAUCCUAAGAUCCCUUAACAGCUGUAAUAUACAUUAAUAACAAGCACUGUAUAAUAAUAACAUUGUAAUUGUAUAAUCAAGUAAUGUUCGUUAUUAAUGUACAGUGGUGCCUUGGUUUGCGGCAUAAUUCGUUCCGGAAAUGUGCUCGUAAUCCAAAGCACUCGUAUAUCAAAGCGAAUUUUCCCAUUAUAAAUAAUGGAAACUUAGAUGAUUCGUUACACAACUCAAAAAUAUUCAUAUAAAAAUUAUUAAUACAAAGUAUAAAGUAAAAAUACAUAAAACAAAUUAACCUGUACUUUACCUCUGAAAAGAAUUGUGGAUGGUGUGAUGGAGGCGAGAGAGAGAAGAGGAGGGUUAUUUUGUAGGACGACUUUCACUAUAACGGAAUCACUGCUAUCUGUCGGCUCACUGGAAUCUUUUUCUUUUUGUGCAUCUUUAACAAAGAACCUUUCCAAUGACAGCUGCUUUUGUCUCCUUUUCGAUUUCACGGAAAUGUGACAUUGCAUUGUCGUUAAACAGAUUCAUUGCUCACACUGCUACGCCCUUAUUCGGGUGGUGCUUUUCUACUAAAUUUUGACUAUACGAGUGAGGCACACCAACAGACUAAGCAUGGGAAACGAUUACCCACAAUCCCACAGCAAGAGAGAGAGAAAGAGAAGAAGCAUUGGCUCAGUUGUGACUGCGUUACGCUACACUGUAAAAAAAGACAAAUUUUUCAGAAUUUUAAACGUAUAUUUACGCACAGUUCGUAAAAUAACAGAGAAAUCCCUUCAGUGAAACUGGACAAUUUCUUUUCUGUAUUUUUACAGAAAUUAGACUUAUGGUUACAUGCUUUAUCUGUAAAAUUUUAAUGUUUUUACUGUACCAACAUGUGCUCUUGUUUUAUUAAAGCGCAACAGCACUUUUUUGUGAAUUUUCUUUCAUUAACUUUAAUUUUGCAUUCAAUGUAUAUAAAAUCUACAUUGGUUAACCGUUCUAAAACCUGUUGCACAUUUCAUUCUUAAACAUAUAUCCACCACAAUUGUACUGUGUUGUUGUAUAUAUAUUAAAUGGUUUGUGUAGAGUUAAGGUUACAAACAUUACAAAAAAUAAUAAAAAAAAAUAGAUAAUAUGGGGAAUGUACGAGUCACCGAAUUUGUAUUUAGUGUAAUUAUAUUAUUAAAUAAUUACUCAUCGAAUGCUUAAUUCCGAGUCGGCAAGUAGAUAAAAGUAGAUUGUCAUAGCUCAGUUUAUAGCGUGCUUAUCUUAACAUGAACAAUCAAGAGCGUUUAUAUUGGACCUAAAGAGAUUUAUAACUUCUACAUUCACAAAAGGUCUAUACUGUGAUGGACCGGACGCUUCCGGUCGCAACUAGUUUCAAACUUGUGCGCAUACGCAGAGGUCAGUGGAAGGCUCUAUUUAUCUGUUUAAAGAAAUAAAAGGUUUGCAGAUCAGAACUGAUGGGAUCAUCUGAGAAUUGAUACAAGAAAGCGCUACAAAGUCAGAGAAGGACUAAGACACAUAUUAAGAUACUCAGAUUCCAUCAGAUACCAUAUUGACCAUCUUGUCUGAAGUAAGUUCAAUGUAAUGAGCAACUGUUCCUUCAACAUUUUGAGAUGUCAAGUUUGCAGCAUUCAAGUGCCAUUUUUGUGACAGUGCAUUUAUGUCCUUGAAAAGAUAUGUAAAUCACCAAAUUAACCCAGAAAGGGGCUUCAAGGUGGAGAAAGGAGCAAAAAGACAAGCUGUGAAUUCAAAUGUUCUGUCUCUUAUUUCAAAAAUAGCUGACUUUGAGUGGAGGGAGUAACAUAAGUUGCCCUCACUAUGCGAUCUCUGAACAUUGUAAAUAACAAAAGUGAUUAUACUUCUUUUGUUCUGCACAAGGCUUUUGCCAGUUUAUGUAAGCAUCUUUCUGUGCUUGGUAUUUUUGAGCUUGUUUAUGUGAGCAUUUUUAUGUGAGUACUUUAUUUAGAUGUUAAAAUGUAUUAACACAUUUGAAGACAGUUAAUGUCAGUUAUAAUGUUUUUGAAAGUUGUUAAUAAACUGGACUUAACUGAA